GGAAAGGUGGCUGAGUUGGUCUAAGGCACACGCCUGGAGAGCGUGAGUGGGGGAAACUCCACCGCGGGUUCGAAUCCCGCCCUUUCCG
rfam:Bacterium CG2_30_54_10 isolate CG2_30_54_10 cg2_3.0_scaffold_8231_c, whole genome shotgun sequence.